AGGGAUUACCCGUGUCAAUUCCUAGUUCAAAUUGUUCUGUAACUUUCAAUCUUAAGGUGUUUAUUAGAUAUGGAUACAUAAUCGUUCAAAAUCAUGAACCAGGAUUUUGUCAAACUUGAUUGCUUUGAUGGAAACAAUUUCAGUCGUAGGAAAGAUAAACUGAAAUUCCUUCUGACAGGUCUAAAGAUAACAUAUGUACUGGACCCUAACGUUCAGUCUAUUCCAG
rnacentral:lncRNA from 1 species